CUCGAGCUUGCUGCUACAAGAAGGAGCCUGUUUACACACCUUCCGUCUCGACUGUCUGCUCCGCUGCGUAUUACCAGAAAAACAAUGACUGACCGUUAUGCACAGUCAAAUCUGUCAUCCCUCUCUUACUCACAGUCUGGAAGAUCGAUUUUGCGGUCACGCCAUGCGCCUACACCGG